rnacentral:tRNA from 1 species
GGAGGUAUAGCUUGGUGGUAAAGAGCAUGUUUAGCAUGCAUGAGGUCUUGGGUUGAAUUCCCAGCACCAUCA